CCCGCCUCCAGGGGGCGGUGUGCGCCCCCGGCGCUGGAGCAGCCGCGUUUCGGGGACCCGGGCAGGCGUGGGGGGCUGCGCUGAGCUCCAGGCCUCCUGCAGGUGCAAUAAGAAUCGUAUUACUAAUGUGGUGUCCUCUGGAAUGGUCACAUGAACACAGUUCCCUGCAGAUGUAAUUGGGAGAGAAGGCACAGUCCUGACACAGGCCUGGAGUGCAGUAGUGUAAUCUCGGCUCACUGCAGCCUCAAACUUCUGGGCUCGAGCGAUCCUCUCACCUCAGCCUCCUGAGUAGCUGGGACUACAGGUGCGUGCCACCAUGUCUAGGUAAUUUUUAAAGUUUUUUUGUAGAGAUGAGGCCUCCCUAUGUUGCCCAGGCUGGUCUCAAACUCCUGGGGUCAGGAGAUGCUCCCAAAGUGCUGGGAUUACAGGCAUGAGCUACUACGCCCAGCUGGAAUUUCCUUAUUUUAAAAAUGUAUGACUGAAUCUACCACCGCCAGAAUCUACCACUGCCAGAUGGUUCUGCCUGGAUUCUUUUCCUACUUUUUGUGCUUCGUAGGUAUAAUUGCUGGAAAGCCUGAUCACAAAAUUAAGCUGAUGGGAAUGGAAAAGGUUUCUUAUAGAAAUAUCAGUCAAUUCUCCCAAUUCUUUCCUCUUUCUCUUCCCCCAAAUCACCUAGCAUUCCUUACCCAGGUCCCCACAGGACUCCUCCUGCAGAACGAUGCCUCCUUUGACGGUAGAUAGAUACGUCAGAGAUGAGGUCGUUACUCAGCGCUUGUCACUGCUCACCAGCUCACUAUCAUAUACCUGAAUUCAGAACAUCCCAACAUGGGCCAAAAGCCAGGCCCCUUCCUUAGCAGAAAGUACCAUGAGGCAGGGAAAGCUGGAACGGCAGAGGGUGGUGGGGCCUUGCUUGGUUAUCAGGACAGCCUUUCCCUGUGUUUGGCAUUUGAGGGUUUAGAAACCCUCGUGGAGUAAGUUUGGGAAGGCUGAGGGCUAGUGCUUUCUUUUAUAAAGUGUGCUUUUGAACACUUGCCUUGAGGCAAGAGUGUAUAAAGGAGGUAAGGAUCUGGAAAUUGAUUUCUUUGAAAUUAUGUGUAUACAUUUGGACCCAGGAGUUUGAAAACCACCCAGCCGAGGGAGCUGAGACUUUGAUUCCUAAGACUCAGUCCUACGACCUCUCCUGAUUCCAGUCUCGGUGUUGGUCAGGGUUCAGUUACAGAGCAGAGCAGAAAGGGAUUUAUUUCAGGAUAUUAAAUGGUUUAUGGAAUCAUGGGGAAGGUGAACAAACAGGCUCUAGCCUGAACUUCCCAGGGGACUCCUGGAGUCCCAUGUAGCAAGGAAGCUUAAGGCUCUUCUCUGACAACUUGGGAAGCUGUUGCUGCGGCUGCUGCAUCAGACACCCCGCCAUGGCGCUGAGCAGGGUGGGGUUUAGAUUCCCAGUCACGUGUAAAGGCAGUCACACCAUCCACGUGCCAGUGGAGUACAACUUGGCAGGCAGUGAGAAGGUGCCAGGAUUUUUCGGAGUUAAGUGACUGUGGUAAGUAGGAUGGGCUAGAAGAAGAGUGAACGCUGGCUGAGCUUGCUGUGGCUGUGAAAGCGUGCAAUCCCGGGAGGGUGGCAGGGGCCAGGGGCCACCACAGGACUCAGCGUGCAGGGUUCACCUACAAAGAUCACGUGGACCAAGUGUGCCUGGACCAAGUGUGCCUGAAGCGGUGCUCUGCGUGGGUACAAAAUGUGACAGCAGUGUUUGCCAGUCCACUUCACUGGCAAAGGGUGAGUUCUAUGCCUACUUAUUUCCAAAGACACUGCAAGGUAACUUUGUGUUUCUUCAAAGACUCUAAAGUGGGCCAGGCACAGUGGCUCACUAAUCCCAACACUUUGGGAGGCUGAGGUGGGCAGAUUACUUGAGCCCAGGAGUUUGAGACCAGCCUGGGCAACAAGCAAGACCCAUCUACCCAAAAUUUUUUUUUUAAUUUUUUAAAUCAGGAGUUCGAGAGCAACCUGACCAACAUGUGAAACCCCGUCUCUGCUAAAAAUACAAAAUUAGCUGGGUGUGGUGGUGCACGCCUGUAAUCCCAGCUAUUCGGGAAGCUGAGGCAGGAGAAUUGCUUGAACCUGGGAGGUGGAGGUUGCAGUGAGCCGAGAUCACGCCAUUGCACUCCAGCCUGGGCAACAAGAGUGAAAUUCCAUCUCGAAAAAAAAAAAAAAAAAAUGAGCCGGGCUUGGUGGUGCACGCCUGUAGUCCUGGCUACUUGGGAGGCUGAUGCGGGAGGAUCGCUCCCAGUCCAGGAGGUUGAGGCUACCUUGAGCUAUGCUUGCACCACUAUACUCUAGCCUGGGCCACAGAGUGAGACUUGGUCUCUAAAAAAACAAAAAUUAAUUAAUUAAAAAUAAAAUAAGAUAAAAAAUUAAAAACAAAGACCAUAAAUGCCAUGAGUUAUGUUUGUUUUUUCUAAAAUUUUAUUCCCAGCAUAGGGAAUAAAUGCAGAAGAGGUGCUUCAUAAAUAUGUACUGAAUUAACAGAUAAAACGAGGGUUCAUAAUAAGAACCUAGACUCCUUGGAGGGUCCAUGAGAAGGUUUUUCUUUGUGUCUGCGUGACAAAUUGUCAGUCCCAGGAUGGUGCCAGAAGUAAAGUUGGGUCAUUGGAGGGUGACUUUGACAACGUCUGACAUCUGCAGAGAAGAGGCAGAUGUUUCGAUCACCUAGCCGACACUGUUCAUGACGUCAAAGGCCACGGUGGCUUUACAGCUACAAUCUCAACAGCAACAAGAAUUUAAUGAGGGCCGAUUAUGUGCAAGAUACUAUAGUAAGUGCUUAAUAUUCAUUAUCUCAUGUAAUCCUUACAAUAGGCCUUGGGGUAGCUUUUAUUAUUCCUAUUUAUAAGUGAGUAAACGUUGUCUCAGGUAGGUAAGUGACCAACCCAAGGUCCUUGGAUUAGAGCCUAGUUGAAUUUUCACUUGAGCCAUUUACUCUGGCCACAGAAUAGGAACAUUGGAAGGAAAUCCAGAGGACUUGGUGAUAUGGUUUGGAUCUAUGUCCCCACCCAAAUCUCAUGCUCAAUUGUAAUCCCCAAUAUUGGAGGUGGGGCCUGGUGGGUGGUGAUUGGAUCACAGGGCUGGUUUCUCAUGGUUUAGCAUUUGGUACUGUAUAGUGAGUGAGUUCUCAUGAGGUCUGGUUGUUUAACAGUGUAUGGCAUUUCCCCCUCCUUCUUCCUCCUGCUCUGGCCAUGUGAGGUGUCUGCUUGCCCUUUGCCUUCCACCAUGUCUGUAGGCUUCCUGAGGACUCUCCAGAAGCCAAGCAGAUGCUGGCACCAUGCUUCCUGUACAGUCUGCAGAACUGUGAGCCAAUUAAAUCCCUUUUCUUUAUAAAUUGCCUAGUCUCAGGUAUUUCUUUAUAACAGUGUGAGAACAGACUAAUAUGCUUGGGCUCUGGACCCAGCUCUGCUGCUGCCUGCCCUGGCUUGGUGGACGUCGCCAGCCUCUCUCCUGCCCUGCCCACAAAGAGAAGUGUACUUCCCAGCCACUGCUCGGGGACAGUCACGCGGCCAACUCUGCCCAACAGGCAGUGAGUGGAGAUGACUUGUGCUCUGUGUGGGUGAAGCACUUUGAUCGCUGGUCGCCUCCUUUUCUCUCACCGUGAGACGGAGGAGACACGUGUUCGCCAGCCUCCCAGAUGAGAAGGCCGUGUGCUUUGAUGCUGUGGCUGUAAGAUGAAAGAGCCUCCAUCCUAGGUCCCAAACAGGGCUGUAGAGCAGAAUUUUGUGCAACUCAUGUUGGAUACCAUGUGAGCAAGAGCACACGUGUAUGUUGAGGCACUGGGAUUUUAGGAUUGUUUGUCAACAUAGGUAACC
rnacentral:lncRNA from 10 species